AUUGAACGCUGGCGGCAGGCCUAACACAUGCAAGUCGAGCGGAUGAAGGGAGCUUGCUCCUGGAUUCAGCGGCGGACGGGUGAGUAAUGCCUAGGAAUCUGCCUGGUAGUGGGGGAUAACGUCCGGAAACGGGCGCUAAUACCGCAUACGUCCUGAGGGAGAAAGUGGGGGAUCUUCGGACCUCACGCUAUCAGAUGAGCCUAGGUCGGAUUAGCUAGUUGGUGGGGUAAAGGCCUACCAAGGCGACGAUCCGUAACUGGCCUGAGAGGAUGAUCAGUCACACUGGAACUUAGACACGGUCCAGACUCCUACGGGAGGCAGCAGUGGGGAAUAUUGGACAAUGGGCGAAAGCCUGAUCCAGCCAUGCCGCGUGUGUGAAGAAGGUCUUCGGAUUGUAAAGCACUUUAAGUUGGGAGGAAGGGCAGUAAGUUAAUACCUUGCUGUUUUGACGUUACCAACAGAAUAAGCACCGGCUAACUUCGUG
rnacentral:rRNA from 1 species